UCUCGAUAACGUAAAAGUUAAUUCAAAUUUGUAUGGAGUUGGAACGUUUGCCUACGUUUGCCGGUAGGGGCGCUGUUCCAACUGCAUACAUAUUAUUAUUAUAGUUAACUUUUACGCUAUCGA
rnacentral:pre_miRNA from 9 species